AGUCAUCAGAAUUCUGGGUGGGGAUUCCUCCCUCAAUUCUGGAAAGGAAUCCUGAACCACACCUUGACCUCACAUUCCUGGUGGUAGGUUUGGUUUAGGAAAAAAGAAUAUCUAGGUGAAGUUACAUUUGUUUUGUGAAGGCAAGAGAGACACUUCAUUUUAUGCAAGAGAUACUUCAUUUUAGCCCCUGAAUGCUUGGGGUUAAGAGGAAGCCAAUGAUGUCCAAUCAACACCUGAUGAACCUGAGGCAUUUUUUCCACGGGGCAUUUAAGCAAGCUGUAGGCAUAGUCAGUAGGAUUCUCAAUUCUUAAGUUUGGAGGUUGGGAUUUCUGUUGAAUGCAGACUCCAGGUGUGAGGAAGGAAAUUCAGAUGCAUGCUACGAUAUGAAUGAACCUUGAAGACAUUAUGCCAAGUGAAAUAAGCCAGUCACAAAAAGACAAACACUGUAUGAUUUCACUCCUAUGAAGUGCCUAGAGUAGUCACAAUUAUAGACAGAAAGUAGAACGGUAGCUUCCAAAGGCUGGAGGGGGAGAGGGAAUGAGGAGUUAUUGGUUAAUGGCUACAGUUUCAGUUUUGCAAGAUGAAAAGAGUUGUGGAGAUAGAUGGUGGUGACAACUGCACAACAGUGUGAAUGUACUUAAAGCCACUGAACUGUACACUUACCAAUGGUUAUAAUGAGCCAGGCACAGUAGUGUGCACCUGUAAUCCCAGCUACUUGGGAGGUGGAGAUGGGAGGAUCACUUGAGCCCAGGAGUUCAAGGCUGCCGUGAGCUGUGAUCACACCACUACAAUCUAGCCUGGGCAACAGAGGGAGACCCUGUCUCAAAGACAAACAAACAAACAACCCAGCCUGGGCAACAUAACAAGAUCCUGUCUUUUAAUAAAAGCAGUUAAGAUGGUAAAUUUUAUGUUAUUUGUAUUUUAUGUGUAUUUAUCUGUAUUUUAUCACAAUUAAAAAUAAAAAUAAAUCCAGAUGUGGGUGGUGACCAUAGGGUAGGUGGCAAGCAUUCAGAGGCUGGAUGCAGUGGCUCACACUUGUAAUCCCAG
rnacentral:lncRNA from 1 species